CUAAUGUUCUUAAACCUACAUGGCUUUCUUUAAUUAAUUUUCCCCAAUUUCAAUUUCAUAACUUUCUCUCUCUCUAUGAUGAAAGCUCUCAAUGUGCCUUAGCUCUCUCUCGCACUCACCCAUGGUCGUCACAGGUGAUUUCAUUGCAAAUUAGGUGAUUUCAUCGGUGUCUUGUGAGAAUACAAGCGUAUCAAUGGCAUCACUAACGGAACUUUCUUUCAACUGGACUGGUUUCAUUAGUGCGAUGAUUUCAAAUAUUGCAUUCACUUA